rnacentral:rRNA from 1 species
GAUGAACGCUGGCGGCGUGCCUAAUACAUGCAAGUCGAGCGAACAGAUGAGGAGCUUGCUCCUCUGACGUUAGCGGCGGACGGGUGAGUAACACGUGGAUAACCUACCUAUAAGACUGGGAUAACUUCGGGAAACCGGAGCUAAUACCGGAUAAUAUAUUGAACCGCAUGGUUCAAUAGUGAAAGACGGUUUUGCUGUCACUUAUAGAUGGAUCCGCGCCGCAUUAGCUAGUUGGUAAGGUAACGGCUUACCAAGGCGACGAUGCGUAGCCGACCUGAGAGGGUGAUCGGCCACACUGGAACUGAGACACGGUCCAGAGUACUACGGGAGGCAGCAGUAGGGAAUCUUCCGCAAUGGGCGAAGGCCUGACGGAGCAACGCCGCGUGAGUGAUGAAGGUCUUCGGAUCGUAAAACUCUGUUAUUAGGGAAGAACAAAUGUGUAAGUAACUAUGCACGUCUUGACGGUACCUGAUCAGAAAGCCACGGCUAACUACGUG